rnacentral:rRNA from 1 species
AAAGGAAUAGACGGGGGCCCGCACAAGCAGCGGAGCGUGUGGUUUAAUUCGAUGAUACACGAAGAACCUUACCCAGGCUUGACAUGUUGGUGGUAGGGAUCCGAAAGGUGACCGACCCUUCGGGGAGCCUUCACAGGUGCUGCAUGGCUGUCGUCAGCUCGUGUCGUGAGAUGUCCGGUUAAGUCCGGUAACGAGCGCAACCCUCGCUGUGUGUUAUAUGUGUCACACGGGACUGCCGGUAUCAAGCCGGAGGAAGGUGGGGAUGACGUCAAGUCAGCAUGGCCUUUAUGUCUGGGGCUACACACACGCUACAAUGGCCAGUACAAUAGGUUGCAAGACCGCGAGGUGGAGCCAAUCCUUAAAGCUGGUCUCAGUUCGGAUUGCAGGCUGCAACUCGCCUGCAUGAAGUCGGAGUUGCUAGUAACCGCGCGUCAGCCAUAGUGCGGUGAAUACGUUCCCGGGCCUUGUACACACCGCCCGU